rnacentral:lncRNA from 1 species
GAGGCUACCGCAGCGCCCGGGCUCCGAGGGGGAGGGCGGGCGGGAGCUCGGCGAGGGGAGGGGAGGGGGCUGGGGGAGGGGAGGAGAGAGGGACAGGGCGGGGGGGGCAGGCGGGCCGGCUGGGAGGAGUUCGAGGCUACCACCGUGCUCGUCGUCGCUGCUGCAGCCGCUCUCGGGCUCCGAGAAGUGCAGCCCGCCGUUCGUGGACGAGGCGCCGCCGCCGCCGCCGCCGCCCGCCGGGCUCUUGGCGCUGCCGUUGGCCGAUCGGUUCUUCCCCAGUAACUCGGGCCCUUUCUCCAUCAUGCCGGGCAUGGUAGAAGAGGGGAGGGGGAAAGGUGAGGGGGGAAGAGGUAGGCGUCAGGGGGAAGGGGGAGAUGGCUUCCGAGCGCGGGCGGGAGAGGAGAGGAGGAGGAGACGGCGGCGCCGGCGGAGGAGGAGGAGGAGGGUGUUAAUAUGGAGCCGCCAUAACCGCCCCGGUCCGGCAGUAGCGCAGUCGCCUCACAACAACCCGCCCCGGCCCCGCCUCUCUCCCCUCCUCCUCCGUCCGCCGCCCCUCUCGGCCGCGCCGCGCUCUACGCCGCCGCCGGUAUCACUCCGCCCCGCAGGGAGGUUCCGGCCGCCGGGCGGGGGAGGGCGGAGGGGGGAUGCGCUGGAGAGGAGGGGGAGGGGCGGGGAAGCCCCGCUCGCCGACCGGCCGGGCAACCCCAACCGAGCGCUAAUAAAAUCGCCGCAGAGGCGCGGCCGCGUCGCGGGCUUCCUUCCUAGGGGGCGCUGCGUAGCGUGGGCGGAGGCGCGCGCGCGAGGCCUCGGGACUCUUUUGCCCUCUCAGGGCGGAAGGAACGCGGUCUGCCUGCGGGAGGGUCGUCGCCUCCCCGGGGCCUGUCGCCUCCCCGAGGCCUCAGCGUCCCGGGAGCGGCCCCCGCCCCUUUAAUCUUUUCCGAGGGGGGCGUCGCGGGAGCGCGGCCCUUUUGAGAUGCCGCAGAGGGUCGGCCGCCGGAUUUCAGGGCUUCCCCGCCGGAUUUCAGGGCUUCCCCGCCGGCGUCGAGGUGGAGAAGCGCGCUUACUCACGGUGGAGUCGGGCGGAGGAGCCGGGGCAGCCUUGGGGAUCCGAGGCCCGGGCGGCCGAAGCUGGGGGCCCGUCCUAACCCUCUGGACGCGGCAGUUUGUGUGGUCUGCACCUCAGAACUGGGGCCUGAUUUCCUGGAGAGACUGAGGCUGCCGAGAUGAGUUUCCAGUACCGAGCACUGCAGCUGUAUAUCACCAAACAGUGUUUUGCUUUUAAAAACCUUUUUCCUCAGUCGGCCUUGUCUCACCUUUUCCUUUCUUUUGUUCGUUUUUUCUGUUUCAUUACUUAGGGGAGUGGGCGUUGUCCGUGGUGAAAUAAAAACUGGGACGGGAUCUUCGCCCAGUUGGCGCUUUUUCGGCGCGCUGACCUGUGGUCGAGGCUUGGAGCCGAGCUCUGGAGAGGGCGGAGGCCCCGAGCGGAGGUGAGCCCAGAGCUGCAGUCUAGCGGGGUUUCCAGCCUGGCAGGCGAUUUGCUCUGUAAUGCUUUCCUGAAUUGCGUUAGGCACGAGGAAUAGGAACUGCAUUUUUCGUUCACCAGAUUUGAGGAUGUCUGCUGUGUGCCAGGCUGCCUGGCCUUGGGGGGCUACUUAAGAUUUUCUUCAUUUUAAAAAAUUGGGGGGUUUUUUGGCUCAGCAGUAAAUAGAAAUGAGGAUUUCUUGUGAACAUUUAGUACGGAGAUGUAUGCAGAUCGGUGUUUGGGGUCCACAGUAAGGUAUUAUGUCAAACACUUAAAAUUGUCCUGGAAGAUUUCUAUUAUAGAUCAGUGCAGAAUGGAUCAAAACGGAAAGAAGCCUCUCUGGCCAGAAGAAGUCUUCAUUGGAAGAAAUAACAUCCCUAAAGAAGGAACGUGUAAAUCAGGAAUUGAGCCAAGAAAAAGCCUGGGAGGUAAAUAUUUGUCAGGGUCCCCAGUCUAAAGGGGAAAGUCUCCUGAGCAGGUACAAAAACCUGUCUGGUUCUGGUAGUAGAGGUAGUUUCAUCUUCCUUAUCAAAACCUGAUAUGAUUCCAUUAAAUAUUUGAAGCUUACAACUAAACCUUUUAUUCUGUUUCCUUUCUUAACGAACACAGUUGUAAAUGUUAUUUUAAUUCCCAUAUAAUUUUUUCUGCAGGGAGAGAACAUUUUGGCCAAAUGAAAUGAAUAGCCGUUCAUUUCCCUUGACAGUUAUAUUUUUUCAUUGUGAAUUAGCACACUGGUAUUUUGGUUUUCAUACACAAGUUCUGAUGAUCAUGAUUCAGCAUGUCUGGUCCUGUAACACAAAGGCCGGACCCUAAACUGAGUGAAUUCACAAAGAUAAGUAUCACUCUGAAGCUGCUUGGCCAGCCAGCUUUCUAACACCCCAGCAUUCCAAUACCUUUCAGCCACUUUUCUUCAGAAAGGAGUUUCUGUCUGUAGAUGAAGGACUAAAAUAUUGUGAAGAUUUGGGAACUUCUGUAACUCACUUCUAUUUAUUAAAACCCUUAAAGUGGGAAGAUUUCACAAUUUCCUUGAGUGCAGCAUGGAAUACUGCAUUUUUCUAGGGAGAAGAAUGGGUGUUUGAGUAUGGCAUUUAAAAGAAGGAAAAACAAGUUUCUGUUUUGCCCCUGAAGAGAAGAGUUCUGAAGNNNNNNNNNNNNNNNNNNNNNNNNNNNNNNNNNNNNNNNNNNNNNNNNNNNNNNNNNNNNNNNNNNNNNNNNNNNNNNNGAAUGUCUAUAAAAGGGGUUAGAGGCAGAAAAAAAGAAUCUGGGCAAGGAAGAAAUAAGCAUUAAGAAGGGAUCAUAAACAAUGUUGAAGGAUGCAGAGUCACGAGAGGGGUUUAAGAAAAGGCCUUUGGAUUUGUUAACUAGAAGGCUAUUGAUUAUUUUGUUUGACUGCUUUUUUUUUUACUAUGUUAAAAUUUUUUAAUAUGUACAUUAUAUUUUAACCUUGGAACAGACAUUACAUUUUCAUAGUUAAAAAUUCAAGAUGUGAAAAGAGAUAUAAUUCACUGUUGUACUGGCAUCCCAGUGACUGUAAAAAAGCAAGGUAAUAUAAGGAUUAGAAAGAAAUACAUAAACCUGUUGUUUGGAAACAAGCACGAUAGUCUAUAUAAAAUUUAUAAACUGUUAGUAUUAAUGAAUUUAGCAAGUUUAUACAGUCAGUAUAUAAAGGUUAAUUUUAUAUACCACCGCUAAACAAUUAGGAAAUUAAAUUUUUUUAUGUUUUACCAUACAUGAAUGCACAAAAAAUAUUGAAUAACUAGUAUGUUAGUUUCCAGUGGCAGCUGUGACAAAUUACCACAAGCAUAGUAGCUUAAAAUGCAUUCAUCCUCUCAGUUCUAGAAACGAAAAGUCUGAAAUUGAGGUGUCAGUAGGCUGAGCUCCCUCAAGCGGCUUGAGGGGAGAAUCUGUUUCUUGCCUUUUCCAGUUUCUGUUGUCUGCUGGCAUUCUUAGGCUUGAAGCCACGGUCACACUAACCUCUGUGUCCAUCUUCACAUUGCCUUCUCUGUGUGUCUAGAAUUUUCCUCUUGUCUGUUAAUAUAGGGGGCUUCCUAGGUGGUGCUAGUGGGAAAGAGCCCACCUGCAAGUGAGAAGACAAAAAGGGAUGUGGGUUAGAUCACUGGGUUGGGAAGACCCCUGGNNNNNNNNNNNNNNNNNNNNNNNNNNNNNNNNNNNNNNNNNNNNNNNNNNNNNNNNNCCUGGCGGGCUACAGUCUAUAGGACCGCAAAGAGUCAGACAUGACUGAAGUGAUUUAGCAUGCAGGCACGCUGUUAUAUAGAGACUGCUAGCAUGUAUGGCCCGCCUGAAUAAUACAGAAUUAUCUCCUUGUCUCAAGAUCCUUAAUCAUAUCUGCAAAGAUGCUUUUUCCAAAUAAACAUCUUACAGUUUCCAAGGGUUAGGCCCUAAUGUCUUUGGGGCACCAUCCAGCCCACUGCACCUAGGAAUAAAUUUUAAUGAAAGAGAUAUAAGAAGUCUGUACUGAAAAUUGUGUUGUUGAUAGUAAUUAGAGAAGACCCAAGUAUUAGUAGCUGGACAGAUACUGUCCUCAUGGAUCAGAAGAUUUAAUUUUGUAAAGGUGUGAGUUCUCCCCAAAUGAUCUAUAUAGAUUUAGGCUAAUCCCUACUAGAAUCCAGCAGAUGGUAUGUGUGAGUGAAUUGACAAGCUGAGCCUUAAAUGUAUAUGGAAAUUAUAUAAAGAUCAAAGACAGCCAAGACAAUCUGGAACAAGAAUGAAGUUGGGGGAUUUGCACUAUCAGAUAUUAGAAAGUAGACCAAUGGAACUGAAUAGGAUUCCCAAACAGAAGAUUAUGUGAACAUUUUAAUUUUGCAAAGGUGAUGCUGUAGUGAUGAGAAAAAAAAAAUGGAUGUUUGAAUAAAUGAUGCUGGGUCAUUUGAAUAUACUUGAUGCCUACUCAACUCUGAAUAUUCAUUGGAAGGACUGAUGCUAAAGCUCCAAUACUUU